rnacentral:rRNA from 1 species
CCCCUAGUAACGGCGAGUGAAGCGGGAACAGCUCAAAUUUGAAAUCUGGCCCUUGGGUCCGAGUUGUAAUUUGCAGAGGAUGCUUUUGGUGCGGUGCCUUCCGAGUUCCCUGGAACGGGACGCCUUAGAGGGUGAGAGCCCCGUACGGUUGGACACCAAGCCUAUGUAAAGCUCCUUCGACGAGUCGAGUAGUUUGGGAAUGCUGCUCAAAAUGGGAGGUAUAUUUCUUCUAAAGCUAAAUAUUGGCCAGAGACCGAUAGCGCACAAGUAGAGUGAUCGAAAGAUGAAAAGCACUUUGAAAAGAGGGUUAAAUAGCACGUGAAAUUGUUGAAAGGGAAGGAUUUAUGACCAGACUUUUUCUAGGGGAAUCAUCCGGUGUUCUCACCGGUGCACUUCCCCUAGUUGAGGCCAGCAUCGGUUUCUGUCGAGGGAUAAAAGCUUUAGGAAUGUGGCUCUCUCCGGGGAGUGUUAUAGCCUGUUGCAUAAUACCUUGACGGGGACCGAGGUUCGCGCAUUGCAAGGAUGCUGGCGUAAUGGUUAUUAAUCACCCGUCUUGAAACACGGACCAAGGAGUCGAACAUUUGUGCGAGUGUUUGGGUGUUAAACCCUCACGCGUAAUGAAAGUGAACGGAGGUGAGAGCCUUUAGGGGUGCAUCAUCGACCGAUCCUGAUGUCUUCGGAUGGAUUUGAGUAAGAGCAUAACUGUUCGGACCCGAAAGAUGGUGAACUAUGCGUGGAUAGGGUGAAGCCAGAGGAAACUCUGGUGGAGGCUCGCAGCGGUUCUGACGUGCAAAUCGAUCGUCAAAUCUGCGCAUGGGGGCGAAAGACUAAUCGAACCAUUGACCAGCGGUCAAAACAAUCACUAGGUGGUU